GGUAGUUGGACCCCCCCGCUUGCGCAGCCAGCACUAAGUCAGGUCGCAAUCACGCACUGACUUACCAGCUGUACUGCUAUGGAAGACUUUGAGUUGGUUUAUACCGAAAAUGAUGAGACUUUCGACACAUUUGAUGACCUUAGCAAGGAUGAAGAUACUGACAGUGAUACACAAAGGCUCUGACAUAGAUGCAGAUAAAUAAACAGACAAUUCAGUAACAUAGGAGCUAUAGAUAUUUCAGAAGUUCUUAUUCCAGACUAUGUCAAUUCACCUCCCCCUGUUAAAGAUACAGAGGAAAUACUUUAUGGAAUAAGCUCACAUUGGGGAAAACAGUACUUUCUUGAUCACUAUCCAAUAAUAGAUCGUACUAAAUCUGAUGAAAAUUGUUUGUUCAGUAGAAACUUUAUUCGCUCAACUAUAAAGUCAAUUGAGCCAAAGUUAAGAGAGCUUUAUGCUCGAAAUAGAAUCAGUGAAUUUUCUAAGUAUAAGGAAAAGUCACUUAUUUACCUCAUAGAUUAUUGCGGAUGGAUUGAAA
rnacentral:lncRNA from 1 species